UACGGAGGGUGCGAGCGUUAAUCGGAAUUACUGGGCGUAAAGGGUGCGCAGGUGGCGAGAGAAGUUAUGUGUAAAAUCCCCGGGCUUAACCCGGGCAGGCCAUAUAAUACUGAUUUGCUGGAGUACGGGAGAGGGCAGUGGAAUUUCCGGUGUAGCGGUGAAAUGCGUAGAUAUCGGAAGGAACACCGGUGGCGAAGGCGGCUGCCUGGCCUGAUACUGACACUGAGGCACGAAAGCGUGGGGAGCAAACAGG
rnacentral:rRNA from 1 species